AUUGAACGCUGGCGGCAGGCUUAACACAUGCAAGUCGAGCGGAGAGAGGUAGCUUGCUACUGAUCUUAGCGGCGGACGGGUGAGUAAUGCUUAGGAAUCUGCCUAUUAGUGGGGGACAACAUUUCGAAAGGAAUGCUAAUACCGCAUACGUCCUACGGGAGAAAGCAGGGGAUCUUCGGACCUUGCGCUAAUAGAUGAGCCUAAGUCGGAUUAGCUAGUUGGUGGGGUAAAGGCCUACCAAGGCGACGAUCUGUAGCGGGUCUGAGAGGAUGAUCCGCCACACUGGGACUGAGACACGGCCCAGACUCCUACGGGAGGCAGCAGUGGGGAAUAUUGGACAAUGGGCGCAAGCCUGAUCCAGCCAUGCCGCGUGUGUGAAGAAGGCCUUAUGGUUGUAAAGCACUUUAAGCGAGGAGGAGGCUACUUUAGUUAAUACCUAGAGAUAGUGGACGUUACUCGCAGAAUAAGCACCGGCUAACUCUGUGCCAGCAGCCGCCGUAACAC
rnacentral:rRNA from 1 species